GGGGCUUUAGCGCAGCUGGGAGCGCGUUUGACUGGCAGUCAAGAGGUCACGGGUUCGAGCCCCGUAAGCUCCACCA
rnacentral:tRNA from 1 species